GUGAAUCAUCAAAUCUUUGAACGCAAAUUGCACUCCCUGGUAUUCCGGAGAGUAUGCCGGUUUGAGGGUCAGUUUAAAUAAAAACCGGUGUGGUUGCUGCCUUUCGUGGCGAGGCACUGGAUUUGGGUCGUCUUGGCCUCGGUUAAGUGACCUAUAAUGUUGAUUGAUUUUUUUCGAAUGUAUUUAAAUGUUUUUUUGGCAGUUUGCGUUAUUGAAUACUAG
rnacentral:misc_RNA from 1 species